rnacentral:rRNA from 1 species
UUCGGGUUGUAAAGCACUUUCAGUAGGGAGGAAGGUAGUGUAGUUAACACCUGCAUUAUUUGACGUUACCUACAGAAGAAGCACCGGCUAACUCCGUGCCAGCAGCCGCGGUAAUACGGGAGGGUGCGAGCGUUAAUCGGAAUUACUGGGACGUAAAGACGCAUGCAGGCGGCCGUGUUAAGUACAGAUGUAGAAAGGACCCGGGGACCGUUUAACCCGUACCGGUAAAGUUGCUAUUUAGUAAACGUAGGCGAGGCUAGAGUCUUGUAGAGGGGGGUAGGAAUUUCAGGUGUAGCGGUGAAAUGCGUAGAGAUCUGAAGGAAUACCAGUGGCGAAGGCGGCCCCCUGGACAAAGACUGACGCUCAGAUGCGAAAGCGUGGGGAGCAAACAGGAUUAGAUACCCUGGUAG